UACGGGGGGAGCAAGCGUUGUUCGGAUUUACUGGGCGUAAAGAGCGUGUAGGCGGCCGCACAGGUCCGUUGUGAAAACUGGAGGCUUAACCUCCAGACGUCGACGGAAACCGUGUGGCUAGAGUCCGGAAGAGGAGAGUGGAAUUCCUGGUGUAGCGGUGAAAUGCGCAGAUAUCAGGAAGAACACCAAUGGCGAAGGCAGCUCUCUGGGACGGUACUGACGCUGAGACGCGAAAGCGUGGGGAGCGAACAGG
rnacentral:rRNA from 1 species